rnacentral:tRNA from 1 species
CGGGGAGUGGCGCAGCGGUAGCGCACCUGGUUUGGGACCAGGGGGUCGCAGGUUCAAAUCCUGUCUCCCCGA